ACACAAACCAUCUGGGGAUUUUGUAAAAAGCAUAUUGAGAUUCAGUAGGUCUGAGAUGGGGUUAGACAAUUUGCAUUUCUAACAAACUCCCAGGUGAUGCUAUU
rnacentral:pre_miRNA from 1 species